AUGCUACGGUAGCACAUAUAGUAAAAUUGGAACGAUACAGAGAAGAUUAGCAUGGCCCCUGUGCAAGGAUGACGUGCAAAAUCGUGAAGCGUUACCACACCUAU
rnacentral:snRNA from 1 species